AUUGAACGCUGGCGGCAGGCCUAACACAUGCAAGUCGAGCGGAGCGGCGGACGGGUGAGUAAUGCCUAGGAAUCUGGCUGGUAGUGGGGGAUAACGUCCGGAAACGGGCGCGAAUACCGAAUACUAUCAGAUGAGCCUAGGUCGGAUUAGCUAGUUGGUGGGGUAAAGGCCUACCAAGGCGACGAUCCGUAACUGGUCUGAGAGGAUGAUCAGUCACACUGGAACUGUGACACGGUCCAGACGCCGACGGGAGGCAGCAGGGGGGAGUAUUGGCUAAGGGGCGAAAGCCUGAUCCAGCCAUUCCGCGUGUGUGAAGAAGGUCUUCGGAUGGUAAAGCACUUUAAGUUGGGAGGCGUUACCAACAGAAUAAGCACCGGCUAACUUCGUGCCAGCAGCCGCGGUAAUUC
rnacentral:rRNA from 1 species